CAGCCGUAAACAAUGUGCGUUAGGUGUGUCGGUAACCACGCGUUACUGAUGCGCCGAAGAGAAAUCGUGAAACGCACCACCUGGGAAGUACGGUCGCAAGGCUGAAACUUAAAGGAAUUGGCGGGGGAGCACCACAACAGGUGGAGCCUGCGGUUUAAUUGGAUUCAACGCCGGACAUCUCACCGGAUAAGACAGUUGAAUGAUUGUCAAUCUGAAGGUUAUACAUGACUAGCUGAGAGGAGGUGCAUGGCGUCAGUGACU
rnacentral:rRNA from 1 species